rnacentral:lncRNA from 1 species
CGCCCCCCCGUGUCUCGGCUUCAAGUGGAGGGAGUCCGCGCGCCCGAGUCUUCCUCUCCCCAUUUUUCCCCCUCCUCGCUUCUGCUCCCAUCCGUGAAAGCGCAGAGAAAACCGCCGCCGGAGAAUCUUCGUCCGCCGCGUGAAGCCUCCAUCCUGAGCCGUUUUCGCUCCGAUUUAGCGCCGUGGUGAGCUUCCUCUCCCUUCCCGCUCCCUCCCCCGUCCUGUUGCCGAGUGAAUCGUGGCCCGGAGUCCCUGUUCCGCGAGCUCCGACGGGACGUUCAUGGCGCCGCCGUGAACCUUCUCGGAAACCGCCUCCUCGACCGCGUUUUUGGGGUGGAAUGGACUCGCAUCGCUCUCCUCUUUCUCCCAGUUCAAACGGAAUUGAAAACCGUUCACCGUUGCACCUCCUCCGCUCAACUCCGGCGAGCUUCAAGGGCCGGCCAUGGUGGCCACCGUGUUCUGGCCGGAGGUGGACUGUGCGCCGUCACCUUCCUCUCUCUCUCUCUUUUUUAUUUUUUUCUUUUAAUCCAGCGCGUUCAUCUUGAAAGGAUCAAGAUGCCCAAGAGGGGGGUGAAUUGGGCUUCUCUAAAAAUUUAAGCAACCUAUAAGCUCCAAUUCAACCCCUUGUGCCUAGUGUGACUAAGAGAGCUACCGGAUAAAAAGUUUUGCAACCUAGUUCCAAUCCUAUUCUAGCAAGGC